rnacentral:rRNA from 1 species
CCUACGGGGUGCAGCAGUCGAGAAUCAUUCACAAUGGGGGAAACCCUGAUGGUGCGACGCCGCGUGGGGGAAUGAAGGUCUUCGGAUUGUAAACCCCUGUCAUGUGGGAGCAAAUUAAAAAGAUAGUACCACACGAGGAAGAGACGGCUAACUCUGUGCCAGCAGCCGCGGUAAUACAGAGGUCUCAAGCGUUGUUCGGAAUCACUGGGCGUAAAGCGUGCGUAGGCUGUUUCGUAAGUCGUGUGUGAAAGGCGCGGGCUCAACCCGCGGACGGCACAUGAUACUGCGAGACUAGAGUAAUGGAGGGGGAACCGGAAUUCUCGGUGUAGCAGUGAAAUGCGUAGAUAUCGAGAGGAACACUCGUGGCGAAGGCGGGUUCCUGGACAGUAACUGACGCUGAGGCACGAAGGCCAGGGGAGCGAAAGGGAUUAGAUACCCGUGUAGUC